AGGGUGCUCAGGGCAAGAGAACUGGGAGAACUCAUCAGACUAUAAACAGCCAGCCAAAGGGGGCAUUGCUCGCCUCUGAGCCCCUGGCCUGGGCUGUGACUGACCUACAGAGACCACUGGAUAUCCUUCCUCAUCUAAACAGGAUAAAAUGACUGCAUUUGAAUUUCACUCACCCGAGAUGGUUCCUCCCCUCUGCCUGCAAUGACCCUGGAUUCUGGCUCACUUCUGGCUUCUUACUGAUAUCUAACUUCACAAAAAUAAAUCUUUUUUAUGGCACACCGAAGAUUUUCUCUCUGAAGUUCCCAUGAGCGGUGUUAUUUAUCUAUAAAGAAGUCUCCUCCAAGAAAGCAGCAACAGCGAGCUCCUGGUGCAGCCUUUCUUCCAGAACAGAGGGGCCCGAUUCUCACUGGCAUUAUUAGGCAGACUUCAUGAGACUUUGAAAUGGCCGCUGUACCAAAUGGAAACAGAGCAUCUGGUUUCCCAUCUCAAGGACAAUCCUCUGACAUGAAAAUUGUCAUCCCCUUUUUACAGGAUUUGAAGGAAGAAUGGAUCCAAGAGCAAAAAGGCAGCUCCACCUAACCCUGGGAAGGACCGGU